AUUGAACGCUGGCGGCAGGCCUAACACAUGCAAGUCGAGCGGUAGCACAGAGAGCUUGCUCUCGGGUGACGAGCGGCGGACGGGUGAGUAAUGUCUGGGAAACUGCCUGACGGAGGGGGAUAACUACUGGAAACGGUAGCUAAUACCGCAUAACGUCGCAAGACCAAAGUGGGGGACCUUCGGGCCUCAUGCCAUCAGAUGUGCCCAGAUGGGAUUAGCUAGUAGGUGGGGGAAUGGCUCACCUAGGCGACGAUCCCUAGCUGGUCUGAGAGGAUGACCAGCCACACUGGAACUGAGACACGGUCCAGACUCCUACGGGAGGCAGCAGUGGGGAAUAUUGCACAAUGGGCGCAAGCCUGAUGCAGCCAUGCCGCGUGUAUGAAGAAGGCCUUCGGGUUGUAAAGUACUUUCAGCGAGGAGGAAGGCGUUAAGGUUAAUAACCUUGGCGAUUGACGUUACUCGCAGAAGAAGCACCGGCUAACUCCGUGCCAGCCGCCGCCGUAA
rnacentral:rRNA from 1 species